rnacentral:rRNA from 1 species
AUUGAACGCUGGCGGCAGGCUUAACACAUGCAAGUCGAGCGAGCGGCGGUCGGGUGAGUAACGUAUGGGGACUGCCUGUUAGAGGGGGUUAACUACUGGACACGGCGCUUAAUUCCGAAUACUAACGGAUAACCCAUAUGGGGUUAGCCAGUAGGUGGGGUAAAGGCGCACCUAGGCGACGAGCUCUAGCUGGUCUGAGCGGAUGAUCAGCCACACUGGGACUGAGACACUGCCCGAGCUCCUCGGGAGGCAGCAGUGGGGAAUAUUGCACAAUGGGAACAUGCCUGAUAGAGCCAUGCCGCGUGUAUGAAGGAGGCAUUAGGGUUGUAAAGUACUUAAAGCGAGGAGGCGUUACCCGCAGAAGAAGCACCGGCUAACUCCGUGCCAGCAGCCGCGGUAAUAC